rnacentral:rRNA from 1 species
UGGUCUUGACAUAGAAAGAACUUUCCAGAGAUGGAUUGGUGCCUGCUUGCAGGAGCUUUCAUACAGGUGCUGCACGGCUGUCGUCAGCUCGUGUCGUGAGAUGUUGGGUUAAGUCCCGCAACGAGCGCAACCCUCGUCGUUAGUUGCUAACAGUUCGGCUGAGAACUCUAACGAGACUGCCUACGCAAGUAGGAGGAAGGUGAGGACGACGUCAAGUCAUCAUGGCCCUUAUGGGAUGGGCUACACACGUGCUACAAUGGGGGGUACAAAGAGCAGCCAACUGGCGACAGUGCGCGAAUCUCAUAAAACCUCUCGUAGUCCGGAUCGGAGUCUGCAACUCGACUCCGUGAAGUCGGAAUCGCUAGUAAUCGUGAAUCAGAAUGUCACGGUGAAUACGUUCCCGGGCCU